UGGGGAAUUUGGACAAUGGGCGAAAGCCUGAUCCAGCAAUGCCGCGUGUGUGAAGAAGGCCUUCGGGUUGUAAAGCACUUUUGUCCGGAAAGAAAUCCUUGGCUCUAAUACAGUCGGGGGAUGACGGUACCGGAAGAAUAAGCACCGGCUAACUACGUGCCAGCAGCCGCGGUAAUACGUAGGGUGCAAGCGUUAAUCGGAAUUACUGGGCGUAAAGCGUGCGCAGGCGGUUUGCUAAGACCGAUGUGAAAUCCCCGGGCUCAACCUGGGAACUGCAUUGGUGACUGGCAGGCUAGAGUAUGGCAGAGGGGGGUAGAAUUCCACGUGUAGCAGUGAAAUGCGUAGAGAUGUGGAGGAAUACCGAUGGCGAAGGCAGCCCCCUGGGCCAAUACUGACGCUCAUGCACGAAAGCGUGGGGAGCAAAACAGGAUUAGAUACCCUGGUAGUCCACGCCCUAAACGAUGUCAACUAGUUGUUGGGGACUCAUUUCCUUAGUAACGUAGCUAACGCGUGAAGUUGACCGCCUGGGGAGUACGGUCGCAAGAUU
rnacentral:rRNA from 1 species